rnacentral:rRNA from 1 species
UACGUAGGGUGCAAGCGUUGUCCGGAAUUAUUGGGCGUAAAGCGUGCGUAGACGGCUAUCUAAGUCGGGUGUGAAAGCCCCGGGCUCAACCUGGGAAUUGCAUUCGAGACUGAAUAGCUAGAGUACGGUAGAGGGAAGCGGAAUUUCCGGUGUAGCGGUGAAAUGCGUAGAUAUCGGAAGGAACAUCAGUGGCGAAAGCGGCUUGCUGGGCCAGUACUGACGUUCAGGCGCGAAAGCGUGGGGAGCAAACAGG